AUUGAACGCUGGCGGCAUGCCUUACACAUGCAAGUCGAACGGCAGCACGGGUGCUUGGACCUGGUGGCGAGUGGCGAACGGGUGAGUAAUACAUAGGAACGUACCUUAUCGUGGGGGAUAACGCAGCGAAAGCUAUGCUAAUACCGCAUACGACCAGAGGGGGAACGCGGGGGAUCGCAAGACCUCGCGCGAUUAGAACGGCCGAUCCCUGCUUAGCUUGUUGGUGGGGUAAAAGCACACCAAGGCGACGAUCAGGAGCUGGUCUGAGAAGACGGUCAGCCACAGUGGGGCUGAAACACGGCCCAUACUCCGACGGGAGGCAGCAGUGGGGAAUUGUGGACAAUGGGCUCAAGCCUGAUCCAGCGAUGGCGCGUGCAGGAAGAAGGCCUUCGGGUUGUAAACUGCUUUUGUCAGGGGAGAAUUCGUCUGGGUUUAUUCCUCGGGAGGAUGACGGUACCUGAAGAAUAAGCACCGGCUAACUACGUGCCAGCCGCCGCGGUAAAAC
rnacentral:rRNA from 1 species